AAAUGUUACAGAGAUUAGCAUAGCCUCUGCGCAAGGAUGACACACAAAUGCAUGAAGCAUUGCAGAUUUUU
rnacentral:snRNA from 1 species